AUUGAACGCUGGCGGAAUGCUUUACACAUGCAAGUCGAACGGUAGAGGGGGCAACCCCUUGAGAGUGGCGAACGGGUGAGUAAUAUAUCGGAACGUGCCCAGUCGGUGGGGGAUAACGUAGCGAAAGUUAACGCUAAUACCGCAUACGAUCUAAGGAUGAAGCGGGGGAUCGCAAGACUCGCGCGAUUGGAGCGGCCGAUAUCAGAUUAGGUAGUUGGUGAGGUAAAGGCUCAACCAAGCCAACGAUCUGUAGCUGGUCUGAGAGGACGACCAGCACACUGGAACNGAGA
rnacentral:rRNA from 1 species